rnacentral:misc_RNA from 1 species
GAAGAUGAAGUACAUGAGAUUCCUCCGCAAGCGCAUGAACACAAAGCCCUCUCAUUGACACAUUUACUUCCGUGCCCCUGCUAAUAUCUUCUGACGUACCGUCCGUGGGUCCGUUCCUUUCUCUCUCUCACUUUCUCGAAUUUCAUUGAUUUUAGUAAUGCUAUGAUUUUGCAUACGCCUUGUGUAGUUUAGUGCUCUGUUUGGUUGACUAGAAAAUGUGAGAAAAAAUGAGUAUCAAUUUGGAUUUUUUGGUCUCUAUUUUGACUAUUUGUUUUGGUUCUGGAAAAUGGAUCGGUGAACUUGACCUCCAAAGAGCUUGGUUAACUCGCUCAAUUAAGCAUUAUGGUCAAUUGAUUGCUAUUGGUGUUAGAAUGAGUUUGGUAUUUGUCUUCGUUUAUUGGGUUUGGGUCUCACUCUGCUUUCCUUUUCUGAAAAAAUGGAUGACAAAAUUUGCUAAGAAUCCGAUUCAGCUAGGCUUUUAGGUGUUAAGGGCUGAAGAAUUUUGGGAUCAUAUUUGUUUUGCUAUUUUGGUAGAAUGAUCCCACACAAGACUAAGCGUGGGGAAGCUGCACUUGCACGUUUGAAGGCUUAUGAGGGUGUCCCUUCCCCAUACGACAAGAUGAAGAGGAUGGUUAUCCCU